rnacentral:rRNA from 1 species
CUUUUCUUGUAUAAAUUUAGGAAGUAUAACCUGCCCAAUGAAUUAUUUAAAUGGCCGCGGUAUUAUGACCGUGCAAAGGUAGCAUAAUCAAUAGUCUUUUAAUUGGAGGCUGGAAUGAAUGGUUGGACGAGACAAUAACUAUCUUAGGUUAAGUUAAUUAGAAUUUAAUUAUUAAGUUAAAAAGCUUAAAUUUUUUUUUGGGACGAGAAGACCCUAUAGAGUUUAAUAUUUAUUAAAAUUAAGGAUUGUUAUUAAAUAUUAGAAAUUUUUAUUAAUAUUUAGUUGGGGUGAUUAAAAGAUAAUAGUAACUCUUUAUAGAUUUUUGUGAAUUAAUUAAUUUAUUAUUGAUCCAAUAUUAUUGAUUAUAAGACUAAAUUACC